CCUACGGGAGACAGCAGUAGAGAAUCAUUCACAAUGGGGGAAACCCUGAUGGUGCGACGCCGCGUGGGGGAAUGAAGGUCUUCGGUUUGUAAACUCCUGUCAUGUGGGAGCAAAUUAAAAAGAUAGUACCACAAGAGGAAGAGGCGGCUAACUCUGUGACCGCAGCCGCGGUAAUACAGAGGUCUCAAGCGUGGUUCGGAAUCACUGGGCGUAAAGCGUGCGUAGGCUGUUUCGUAAGUCGUGUGUGAAAGGCGCGGGCUCAAGCCGCGGACGGCACAUGAAACUGGGAGACUAGAGUAAUGGAGGGGGAACCGGAAUUCUCGGUGUAGCAGUGAAAUGCGUAGAUAUCGGGAGGAACACUCGUGGCGAAGGCGGGUUCCUGGACAUUAACUGACGCUGAGGUACGAAGGCGAGGGGAGCGAAAGGGAUUAGAUACCCUAGUAGUC
rnacentral:rRNA from 1 species